rnacentral:tRNA from 1 species
UCUAUUGUGGCAGAAAUCAUGCAAUGAACUUAAAAUUCAUUUAUAAAUAAGUUUAUUUCUCUAGAA